CAAGGACGUUCCUCUAAAGCAUUAAGGACUAAGACCUCGGGUGUGUGAAGUCUGACUGCCCCGCCUUAGAAAGCCACCUGAAGUCAGGCUCAACUCUUCUAGGAAAGAAAUGCUGGAAGCGCCAGCCCGGUGCGCUCAGUACGACACCCACAGCACGUGCUGGGAGAAGCUGAGCUGCAUCGGCACGCUGGCUCUGAAACUGGAGCGUGAGGCCUGCUGAGGGGCAGACUGGGAACCAGGCUGGGAACAGGGACCUCAGACACUCAUGCGUGGAUUCUGGGGGCUGCUGGUGAACCGGAAAGAUAGGAGCUUCAGAGUCAGCAACCUGGAGUUUGAAUGCUGGUGCUGCCAUUACCAGUGACGUGAGUCUGAGCACUUGACUUUCCUCUCUGAGUUGGUUCCCCCCUUGACAAAUGAGGAUGAUGCCUCCUACUUCACAGGUUGCUGGGAAGAUUAAAUGAGGUGGUUUAUGUAGAGCGCCCCAUGCAGUUCUGGCACAAUGGGGGCUCUAGAAACGGCAGGUAUAUUCCUGGCGUAUUUUUUGGUUUAACCUAUUCUGAGCCUUUAAAUGAGCUCUGCAGGCAGAUGGAGCGAAGCUAUCUAAUUUACACCGUUAGUUAAUCAAAAAUUCAAUACUGAGUCCCUAAGUGUUAGUCAGCUCUGAGCUAAAUACUACGGGGGAGGCAAGGGAUAGACACCACAUGGCUGCUUGCCUUGAGAAAUGUCUGCUUCUGUUUGCAGGGGGAGAGCAAGCCACACGUUUUUAGUCCGUGAAUGCAGCUGGUGGGAAAGUUCCAUCCCUUCAGGUGGAGAGGGCUGGAGGAGCUCAGAGAAGGGAGGGAUCAGUGGGGCUGGGCUAGCUGGGCGGGGCUUUGGGAUAGGAAACAUGGAGCUGGGUGAGGGGAGGCAUCUGCCCCGCGCU